rnacentral:tRNA from 1 species
GGAGGCGUAUCCGGCCUGGUGGCCGGCACGGUCUUCAACACCGAUGUGGUCCGGUAUCCGGGCCAGGCGGGUUCGAUUCCCGUCCGCCUCCGCCA